rnacentral:rRNA from 1 species
UUCUAAUAGAGAUAAUUAUUAGUAAAAUCUGCUCAAUGAAUUUUCAAUAGCCGCAAUAUUUGUGCUAAGGUAGCAUAAUCAUUUGUCUUUUAAUUAAAGACUAGAACGAAAGAUUAUACAUUUAAAUUUCUAUUUAAAAAUUUAAUUUUUAAAUUAUCUUAAAUAUAAUAAGAUAUUUAUUAAAAAAAUAGACGACAAGACCCUAUUGAACUUAACUUUAGUUUAACUGGGGAAGUUAAUUAAUUAAUAUUUUAACAUAAACAUUUAUAAAAAAGAUCCUUUUCAAAAGAUUAAUUAAUCAAGUUACCAUAGGGAUAACAGCGUAAUAAUUUUCAAAAGAUCUUAUUUAAAAAAUUGUUUACGACCUCGAUGUUGAAUAAUUACCUAUUAAAUGCAACAUUUUAAAAAGGAAGUCUGUUCGACUUUUAAAAAAUUACA